rnacentral:rRNA from 1 species
CAGUCGCCGCGGUAAUACGAGGGGUGCAAGCGUUAUUCGGAUUGAUUGGGUGUAAAGGGUGUGCAGACGGCUUAUUAAGUCACUUGUUAAAUUCUUCGGCCUAACUGAAGGUCUGCAAGUGAUACUGAUGAGCUAGAGGGUGGAAGAGAGAAGUGGAAUUCUCGGAGUAGCGGUAAAAUGCGUAGAUCUCGAGAGGAACACCAAUGGCGAAGGCAGCUUCUUGGUCCAUUCCUGACGUUCAUACACGAAAGCGUGGGGAGCAAACAGGAUUAGAUACCCCCGUAGUCCCUGUCUCUUAUAU